AUAAUGUUGCUAUGCUAAACAGUUACUAGCCCAGUUGUGAUUAUUAUUACUGCUAAUUACUUAAGAUCUUGGUAUGAAUAGUGUCCAGUAAGUCCAGUUUAAACAGGGAUUUUGAUCUUCUUGCUCCUGUUUUGUUGCAGAGAGGGAAAUUGAUGUCUAGCAAGAAGAAGAAGAAGAAGAAGAAGAAGAAGAAGAAGAAGAAGGAUGACAGUUGAGGGACAUCUUGCUGCCAAGCCUCAACAAACAUGGCGUCACUGAGUGUCACUUAGAAGACGUUACUGCUUAAUGCGCAUAGGAGGGAUAUGACAUGAGAGGACAUAAGUGAAAUAGACAUUAAAGUAUCUGCAUUCUGUUCUAGCUAUAAAACAAGUUACAGGGAGGAGGAGGAACAUUUACUACCUUACCUGACAGAGCGUGAAAGAGUACUCCUGGGUGUCAAAACAAGAGCCCAGCUGCUAAGAGAGUAUGGCAGGAGACAGCCAGCUGAGCCCAGGGAGUCUCACUACAGCGCUCGUACAACAGAUGAACCGAAUAAAUCCCAGCUUCGAGAUUAUUCAUGAACGACGAUGUAAAUUUUCCCACGUAGAACAACGGACAGCCAGCUCCGCUGUCAGGCCAAAAUGUGCCUGCUUAUCCCAGUGCCCGCAGAGCCAAGCUCAGCUGGAUUCUGCACACCCUCCCACUGCAAAUUCAACGUCUCGUAAAGUCAGUUAUUGUCUCUGUGCCUCUCCCAGCUUCCUGUCUCCCUAAUCCUUAAUCCUGUGGAAAUCGGUCAGGCAGAAUGAGCCAGCUUUGAUCAGGCUCUCAUAUCAGGCGUGCUAACAGUGUCAGCACACCCGGAUCCCACAGAACCCUGGAGCCCAGGGGGAGAGCUUCAAACAGGCGUUCACCCCCUGACUAUGCUUGAGAGGAAGGGGAACAAGAGUCUGCAGAGUUCCUGUCUCAACUGCCAGCAUCAGUCUCUGGCACCGAUCUUUCUUUUUCAAUGCAGCAAACAUUUGCGUCGUCAUUUCAUACCAUUUAUCGGGGAUGGCACCUUUGCUACUGGCUUUUUUUCCCCGCAUGAACUGAACUUGCUGUGGGAAAAGAGAUCAGCCAGUCUAACAGCAUUUGCGGCUGAGAGCAGGGUACAGUACAGACAUGUGAAAGUCGCUUCUGCUGUUGUCAGCGGUGUCCUUGACAGCAGGCAUGGAAACUGUGUCACUGGUAUUGUGAUAUCUGCCUGAGUGGGAGGUAUGACACAAAAAUACUUGUCGAUGUUGUGGCAUGAAUGCAUCAUGCAGGAAAAUGAGCCUUCUUAAAAAGGCCAGAAGCAUCUAAGCCAGAAAAGAAAUACACAAACUGAAGUGUUUUCCAUAUUUCAAUCCAAACAUCCUACCCUGAAGAUGUGCUUGGAAUGGACACUAACUCAAACAAACUUUCUGCAAACUUUCACUUAAACAUUUUGUUUGAAGGAGGCUACCUUUGUGAAAACCUUUUGGAAUGAGGUGCAUAAGUAAGUUACACUGCGAAAUAUUUGAACAGCCAAUUGGAUUAUCACUGCAUUCUUUAAGUAAUUAUUUGCCCACAGCCUGUAAAUAGAUUUUAAAUAAAUAAGUUGAAAGGUUAUCCUAUGUUGUUGGAUAAGGAUGAUGAAAGUAAUUCAGAGCCUCAGACUGUGCAGAACAGAAUUUGUACAUUAGUGUUUUUCCUUCUCACAACCACAUGACCUGGAGGUUGAAAUUCUCUGCAGAUCUACAACAAUACUGACAGUGUGCUCAGUGUCCACAUUUAAUCAGUUUAGAAGAGCAGUCAGGUACUUUAAAUCAGCUGGAGAAAUGAAGCAUUUAACGGCCUGAAGAGGAAGGUCAACAGCUCAACAGCUGACACGAGAGCACCUGUGAAAGAUCUUUGUCUGAAGGUGAAGGGUCUUUUUUUAUAUAUAUAUAUCACUGUGUCUGUUUAAAUGUAAGAUUGAGAUGUGUGUUUUGCAGACAAGACCCACGAAAAGCAACCGACGUGAUGCCUGCAUCAGUGGUGACCAUGGCACAUUAAAAAAGACUCCGGAUAGAAAUUGGUACGUGGUGAGAAUGAACUGUUGAGCAUUAGAUACACCUCUUCUGAACAGCUCUGUGGCUGUGGUCCGCCCUUCUUUGUGGCUCAUGAACGGUUCUUAAAGUAAAUGGUGACAUCUAGUGGCCUUGCCUUCAUACUGCACAUUAAGAGGGAACACAGUAUAAAUUUUGAAAUUUUGUUGUUUUGUUAGUAUUUGCAUUUUUUGAGGUUGAUAUAUCGUCCAGAACUAAAAUACAAACUGGGUACAUGAACAAGCAUUUCGUGCAAUGAUCCGUCAAACGCAGAUAUGAAAAACCUGUGACAAAGAUAUGUAUAUAAUGGAGGCCAAGAUGUUUAACGACAGAAUUUAGUGUUAAUAAUUACAUCAGUUCAUUGAAACAGUUGACUUUAAUGGUAUUUUAUUUAGCGUAAAUCUACUUUUGUAUAAUGCUGUGUUUUGAUAUUAGCACUUAUUGGAUGGUAAAUAUCUGUAAUAAAAUGAGCUGACCAAUA